UCGAACUUCUGGCCAGCAGCCGCGGUAAUUCGAAGGGGGCAAGCGGGAAGCGGAAGUACUGGGCGGAAAGCGGACGCAGGCGGUCUGUCGAGGCGGAUGUGAAAUCUCCGGGCUCAACCUGGUAACUGCAUGCGAAACUGGCAGGCUGUAGUCUUGUAGAGGGGGGUAGAAUUCCAUGUGUAGCGGUGAAAUGCGUAGAGAUCUGGAGGAAUACCGGUGGCGAAGGCGGCCCCCUGGACAAAGACUGACGCUCAGGUGCGAAAGCGUGGGGAGCAAACAGGAUUAGAUACCCUAGUAGUC
rnacentral:rRNA from 1 species